GUAUUGGUGCCCGAGUGGUUAAGGGUAAAUUUCAAGCAUAUAUGGCGAAAGCCUCGUGGGUUCGAAUCCCGCCCAAUACA
rnacentral:tRNA from 2 species